rnacentral:lncRNA from 1 species
CAUCAUUGAAUUGAGUUCCACAUCAGUAUUGGUGUAUCAAAGUGAUUCGCUUGCACUUAAUUGCCCAGGUCAACAAACCACUUUACCUGGUUGCAAGUUCUGUGUUAUUCAGUUACCGUGCAAGUGUUCACUGUCUACAGUAUCUUCAUAUUUACCUCCCAGAUUGGUCAAUUGUUAUAACAAGACCUCAGAACUGUCAGUGUUCCA